rnacentral:rRNA from 1 species
GAAACUGCGAAUGGCUCAUUAAAUCAGUUAUCGUUUAUUUGAUAGUACCUUACUACUUGGAUAACCGUGGUAAUUCUAGAGCUAAUACAUGCUUAAAACCCCAACUUCGGGAGGGGUGUAUUUAUUAGAUAAAAAACCAACGCCCUUCGGGGCUUCUUGGUGAUUCAUGAUAACUUCACGGAUCGCAUGGCCUUGCGCCGGCGACGGUUCAUUCAAAUUUCUGCCCUAUCAACUUUCGAUGGUAAGGUAUUGGCUUACCAUGGUUUCAACGGGUAACGGGGAAUUAGGGUUCGAUUCCGGAGAGGGAGCCUGAGAAACGGCUACCACAUCCAAGGAAGGCAGCAGGCGCGCAAAUUACCCAAUCCCGACACGGGGAGGUAGUGACAAUAAAUACUGAUACAGGGCUCUUUUGGGUCUUGUAAUUGGAAUGAGUACAAUUUAAACCUCUUAACGAGGAACAAUUGGAGGGCAAGUCUGGUGCCAGCAGCCGCGGUAAUUCCAGCUCCAAUAGCGUAUAUUAAAGUUGUUGCAGUUAAAAAGCUCGUAGUUGAAACUUGGGCCUGGCUGGCAGGUCCGCCUCACCGCGUGUACUUGUCCGGCCGGGCCUUUCCUUCUGGAGAACCUCAUGCCCUUCACUGGGUGUGUUGGGGAACCAGGACUUUUACUUUGAAAAAAUUAGAGUGUUCAAAGCAGGCCUUUGCUCGAAUACGUUAGCAUGGAAUAAUAGAAUAGGACGUGCGGUCCUAUUUUGUUGGUUUCUAGGACCGCCGUAAUGAUUAAUAGGGACAGUCGGGGGCAUCAGUAUUCAAUUGUCAGAGGUGAAAUUCUUGGAUUUAUUGAAGACUAACUACUGCGAAAGCAUUUGCCAAGGAUGUUUUCAUUAAUCAGUGAACGAAAGUUAGGGGAUCGAAGACGAUCAGAUACCGUCGUAGUCUUAACCGUAAACU